rnacentral:tRNA from 2 species
AAUGAAUUGCCUGACGAAAAGGGUUACCUUGAUAGGGUAAAUUAUGUAAUAAUUAUUACAUUCAUUA